GCACUGCUCCAGCUGCAGCGCGCCGGGAUGCCGAGGAGACAGAGUGCAUGCGGCGCUGACUAUGAGCGGCUCCCCCCUCCCUGCCUCCUUACUCACAGCACUGUUCUUGCAGCGGUACAUGGAGAAGGGGGGGAGAGCAGAAGACAGCACCGCGAGAGCCAGGUGCAGAGAGCUGGGAGUGCUUUAUGCAGCGGGCGGCGCUAACUCCCUUCCUCCACUGCUCUCUCCCAGGGAGCAGCACUGACACCUCUGCGGAAGGCACAUAUGCCCAGGCCAGGACCCAGCAUUUAACAAUGGACUUAUUACAAAGGACUAUUGUAGCUAUAGAAUAUAAAGAUAAAGAACAUGAGAAGAUGGACCAAUUGCAAAUGGAGGAAAUGGACAUUUUAAACAAAGAUAAAAAGAUGUCAUGUUGUGGAGGACCCCGGGAAAAUGGCCGCCUCACUACAUCCGGUGACGUUACUUCCAGGAAGAUGAAAAGGGAAUUAAACAGCUAGGUCUGUGCCACAUUGUGCAGCGAUUACAGGAGAUGACGUGACCAGAUGUGGGGAUGCUUCCGGUUCCGGCUGGCAUUCUAGCACGGCUGAUGUGAGGGAAUUGGUUGUCGGAAGUAGCCGGGCACUCGCGUCUAGGUACUUCCGGUAGCGGAGGUCUGACGCAGAUCGUUGGCAAAGGGGAUGGCCCCCUUUUUGGCAGGAAAUUCUGGAGAUAACGCCUAUGUGGGGGCGGGAAUCGGGACAACCCUGAAACAUGUAUUAGAAUAGGAAAUCAUUGUAUUAGCUAUAGGGAAAUUGAGAAAUGCUGGUUUUGUAUCAAUUCAACAGGCCAUUGGUGGAAAGAUUGAAGGAAUGGUAUAAAUAGUUGUGAUUGUACAGGAGUCCCUCAUACCUUGAAAAAGAUCCUCUAUAGGAUCGAAACGCAUCGGUGGGACUUCUUCUUUCCAUGGUGUACCUGUCUGGAAAAGCGGUGAGACUUUUUUCCCCAAUUUUCGGGAUCCAUUUAACAUCUAGGGAAAUAAGUCUCUCCUAACCGGGCACAAAAGGUCACCUUUUUAUGUAAAUUUUAUGUGUUUUUAUGGAUCAUUUUGUAUGUUUUGGAGAUCAUUCCAAUUUUGUGGAAUAAAAUUUGUCAUUUUUAUACAA